GACGAACGCUGGCGGCGUGCUUAACACAUGCAAGUCGAACGGAAAGGCCCUGCUUGCAGGGUACUCGAGUGGCGAACGGGUGAGUAACACGUGGGUGAUCUGCCCUGCACUUCGGGAUAAGCUUGGGAAACUGGGUCUAAUACCGGAUAGGAACCAUCUUUAGUGUGGUGGUUGGAAAGUUUUUUCGGUGUAGGAUGAGCUCGCGGCCUAUCAGCUUGUUGGUGGGGUAAUGGCCUACCAAGGCGGCGACGGGUAGCCGGCCUGGGAGGGUGUACGGCCACAUUGGGACUGAGAUACGGCCCAGACUCCUACGGGAGGCAGCAGUGGGGAAUAUUGCACAAUGGGCGCAAGCCUGAUGCAGCGACGCCGCGUGGGGGAUGAAGGCCUUCGGGUUGUAAACUCCUUUCGCUAGGGACGAAGCUUUUUGUGACGGUACCUAGAUAAGAAGCACCGGCUAACUACGUG
rnacentral:rRNA from 1 species